GGAAAGAGAACAAACACAAAAUGGAGAAAGACAAUCGAAGAGGUGUUGACAGCAUUUCCACAGUACAAUGGCUCUUCUUGUGACUAUUAUCGCCUUCCUCUCUCUGAUUUUGUGAGUUAUUCAGAAAGAGAGAAAG
rnacentral:ribozyme from 13 species